ACACACAUGGACUGUCACGCACACGUGCACUCUCACAUGCAUUCUCCAUACAUGCAUACUCUCAUACAGAUAUGCACUCUCACACACACACACACACGCAUGCACCCACUCUCUCACAGACGCACACUCACCUGUACACUCACACUCUGGAGCGUCCCGGUCAUUUAUUUUCCGUUCCCAGUGAUCCUUUUACCGGAGCAAUGGCUUCGAUCCCGCCGCCGUCAUCAGAGGGUGAACUGUAGUCCAUCUGCUAUGAGCUCUGAGAUGAUCUGUUUAAAGCUGACGGCCUCCGUUAUGAGCCACUCUGAGCUUAAGACUCCUGCAGGCUUAUUCAGACUAAUCAGGGGCUCCCCUCCCCCCCCCCCCGCCCUUCUCGAUGGUUGAAGUAAUGCCGAGUGUGUUGUUGGCAAACCGCUGUCAUCACGGUCGUCUGACCCUGGCCACCUGAAGCCGCCAGACCGGACGCACUGCCCGUUGCUUCUGGUCGGUCGGAGCUCCGCCCGCUAGCCAGUUCCCGCUCCAUUCUCUCCUCCCACUGGAGCGAUCCCAAACACGUCCCGGUGGUCAGAGGUCAGCCAUGGGGUCGGCCGCCAGGCGAGGCAGACGUCCGAGUGUGGACGGACAAGGUGCUUGGGACCGAGGGGCGGGCGGUGGUCGGGUCACGGCUGUGGAGCCCACCAGCCCCGUCCCGCCCACAGCCACACCGGCCCCGAUGCGUGUUUCCCGUCACCGUGGUCGACGUGGCGACCGUGGUACCUUGGUCCCCAUGGUGACCGUGGUCGACGUGGCGACCUUGGUGCAGUGUUCACCUGGUCACCGUGGUGAUCGUGGUACCAUGGUGACCGUGGUUACUGGUCCCCCUGGUGACCGUGGCCCCCUGUGCCCCGUGUUCUCCGUGGUUACAGUGGUUACCGGGGCUUCCAAACAGCUGUUGCAUCACUGCUUCGCCGUGGGGACGGGCCGCAGCACGUCUGCAUUCUUUGUUGUUCCUGAGAGGGGGCGGGGCCUCCGAGAGGGGGAGGAGCCUCUGUUUGGACGCACCCUGGCACCCUGCCUGAGGGAGGGAGCAUUGUGAUCAGAUGAACCGCUCCCCAGGGGUCGGAGCUCUGAAUGGGUCUCUGGUCCACACCAGACGCCCUCGCACUCCUCAAUGGAGCCGAGUCCUUUCCCUCCUCUCUCCUUCUGUCCUCUUUGUGUUCCCUUCCUUGAUGUGCCAUCCUGUGUGUCAUCACACGCAGCUCACACCGAGAGGCGGAUCAGAGCGGGCUCUACUUUAUCACUCUGAGGUCUCACCCCAGGAGAACGUUGAGAUGGUGGGUACUCUUUAGUACAGGACUCAGUCCGCACUACGCCCUGGUGCCUGCGGGGGCAGCAGUGAGUCGGUAUUUAUACCCUCAGACACCGACUGAUGAACACAGAGCCUGUCCCUCAGAGAACCAUCCCAGCCUUCAGGGUCUGUGGAGAGAGUCCUCUCCACGGCAACGCACUGUGAGCCCGCUCAGACCUGGAGAACGUUCCUCUGAGCCCGCUCAGACCCGGAGAACGUUCCUCUGAGCCUGCUCAGACCCGGAGAACGUUCCUCUGAGACCGCUCAGACCCGGAGAACGUUCCUCAUCUCCUCCUCCCUUCAUCAGGGUGUAGAGGGAGGGCUGAAUGCAGAUCAGUUUGUCCCCGGGGUGUUUCCGCGGCUCCGAUGCAGAGCUGUGACGUUGGACACGUGGGUA